GGCCUGGUGGCUUAGACGGUAAAGCAUCUGUCUACAAUGCAGGAUACCUGGGCUCAAUCCCUGGGUCA
rnacentral:tRNA from 1 species